UACGUAGGGGGCUAGCGUUGUCCGGAAUCAUUGGGCGUAAAGGGCGCGUAGGCGGCCAGAUAAUUCCGGGGUAAAAGUCACAGGCUCAACCUGUGAAUGCCGCUGGAAACUGUCUGGCUUGAGUCCGGGAGGGGCGAGUGGAAUUCCUGGUGUAGCGGUGAAAUGCGCAGAUAUCAGGAGGAACACCAAUGGCGAAGGCAGCUCGCUGGGACGGUACUGACACUGAGACGCGAAAGCGUGGGGAGCAAACAGG
rnacentral:rRNA from 1 species